UGGGGAAUAUUGCACAAUGGGCGCAAGCCUGAUGCAGCCAUGCCGCGUGUAUGAAGAAGGCCUUCGGGUUGUAAAGUACUUUCAGUCGGGAGGAAGGUGUCAAGGUUAAUAACCUUGGCAAUUGACGUUACCGACAGAAGAAGCACCGGCUAACUCCGUGCCAGCAGCCGCGGUAAUACGGAGGGUGCAAGCGUUAAUCGGAAUUACUGGGCGUAAAGCGCACGCAGGCGGUUGAUUGAGUCAGAUGUGAAAUCCCCGGGCUUAACCCGGGAAUUGCAUCUGAGACUGGUCAGCUAGAGUCUUGUAGAGGGGGGUAGAAUUCCAUGGGUAGCGGUGAAAUGCGUAGAGAUGUGGAGGAAUACCGGUGGCGAAAGCGGCCCCCUGGACAAAGACUGACGCUCAGGUGCGAAAGCGUGGGGAGCAAACAGG
rnacentral:rRNA from 1 species